AUAUUCCUGGAUAUUGCUUGCUUUUUCAAUGGGAUGGAUAAAGAUCAUGUCACACAAAUUUUAGAAACUUUUGAUGAAGAUCUUUAUCUAAAAAUUGGAAUAACAGUUCUUAUUGAGAAAUCACUAGUAAUCAAUCAUGAAGGGCAUUUGUGGGUGCAUCAUAUUCUUCAAGAUAUGGGUAAAUAUAUUGUCCUCCAAGAAUCAUUUGAUAAGCGCUCUAGGAUAAUGUCUUUGAAGGAUGCCAAUGAUGUACUAAAAACAAAUAAGGGGACAGGAGCAAUUCGAGGUAUAGCUCUAACAUUAGAAAAAUCAUCAGAUGCACUUUGGGAUCCUGAAGCCUUCUCGAAAAUGAGUAAUCUCAAGUUACUUAUUAUUUCAAGUUGCUCAUCAUAUGUUUCUCGUUGCCUAUUGAAUCUUCCUCGUGGACUUAAAUCUCUUCCCAAUGAAUUGAGAGUUUUUGAAUGGGAGGGGUAUUCUUUAGAUUCUCUGCCCAGACAUACUCAACUUGAUGAACUUGUUCAUCUAAAAAUGCAACAUAGCAGGUUAAAAGAACUAUGGAGAGGAGCACAGUCUCUACAAAAGCUGAUGUCCAUUGAUUUAUCUCAUUCCAAAUACCUCAUCAAAACCCCAGAUUUUGAUGGAAUUCCUAAUCUUGAAAGAUUGAUUCUCAAAGGGUGUUCUAACCUUGUUGAAAUUCACCAGUCUCUUGGGCAACACAAGAAUCUUGUUAUUGUUAAUUUGAAAGGCUGCACAAAAGUUAAAACCCUUCCCAAAAAAUUGGAGAUGGAUCGCUUACAGACUUUUGUUCUAUCCGGUUGUUCAAAAAUUAGAAAACUUCCUGAGUUUGGAAAGGAUAUGAAAUGUCUCUCUAACCUUGAUUUAGAUUACACUGCUAUAUCCAAACUACCUGAAUCACUGGGCAAUUUGACUGGUCUUGCUGAAUUAACUUUGUCAGGCUGCAAAAAUCUGGUUUGCCUUCCAAACAAUGUUUGUAAAUUGAUAGCUAGGAAGACUAUCAAAAUUUCUGGUUGGUCAAAGCUUUCAAGGAUGCCAAAGGAUUUGAAUGAAAAUGGGGCGUUGGAAGUGCUUGAAGUGGGUCGUCAAAUUUCUGAAGAGGCACAAUCAAUUUGUGAAUACAAUGGUCAAGCACAUUCUUCAACGUCAAGGAAUUGCUUCUCCCUUCCCUGGAAGGCGUUUCGGCUUCAAAGGCCUUCAAGCUCAAUAAAUCUUUUCUUGUCCUCUUCUUUUUCAUCCUUGACCGAAUUAAAUUUAGAGUCUUGCAAUCUCUAUGAUGGAUCACUUCCUGAUGACAUUAGCAGCUUUACAUCAUUGGCAUCAUUAAAUUUAAGUGGAAAAAAUUUCAUUGACUUACCAUCUGGCCUCAUUUCCAAACUUUCGAAGCUUCGGUGUAUUGGUCUCUUUGAUUGCCCAAUGCUUAAGUCCUUGCCACAACUUCCGUCAAAUCUAUCAGUCAUUCUCGCAAGUGGUAGUCCAUCAAUGGAACAUUACAUAUGUUCGCAGAAACUAUGGGAGUUCACUGAAUCAUUCCAAUCUCAGGUUCAUAAUAUCAAUGACGUCUCAAUAUCACAUGAUUCUGAAGGAUAUAAAUUGUUCCAUUUAAGUAGGCUGUCUGGAAUUGUUACAUGGGAUUCACAAAUUCCUAACUUCUUCAUGCAACCCGCUCGCCAAUUAUUGAUUCCUGGUAGUGAAGUGGCAUCAUGGUUUCAUAAUCAAGACUACUUUUGUGAGAAAGAAUGGGAUCAUCCCAAUGUGUCAUUCAUAGUAAGCAUACCUGAUCAUUGUCGAAGAAGUGAAUGGUGGGGCAUAGCCACAUGUUUAGUGAUAGAAAAAGAUUUGGCAUAUGACAAAGAGACUGAUAUUGUUUGGUGGAUUUGCAGAUUACCUAAUGAUGAAUUUCCAAAUACGUUUGGUUUCUGUGCAAUUGUGAUACAAUUAAAAUGGAGUCAUCAACUCUUUAUUAUAUAUAGUCGUUGUUCCUCUUUAGUUGUAAACAAACUUCAAAUGAUGUUUUCUACUGGAAGUCCACCUGUGUGUAAAGUAAGGAAGUGUGGAUGGCGUGUGGUGUGUAAAGAAGAUGUUGAAACAUGGAAUGAGUGUUGUAGCGGCAUCAAUGAUGGAAUCAUAGUUAGCCCAAAACGCCAAGCCACCUAACAAAGUGCACAAAAUAAGAAGAACAAAUGCUUCAAGUUAUUUUCAUGAUCAGAUUUAUCUUCUAUUUCGUGCGGAAAAACAGAGCAUUCCCACUUCUCAUUUUUCUUCACCGACAUUCUUCUUCCCUUCUCUCUUCACCGUCGAACUCUUCCUCUUCACCUUCAACUUGUUCUUCUUCCCGCCCGCCGGCAGUUCGUCCACUCCUUCCCACUGCUGUUCGUCAGUUCCUGUAAAGUUCUGUAGCUGAAUCUCUUCUCUGUUUCUUCGCUAUUGCAUCCUGACAGAGCCAUGCGCUAAAGCUUCUCUUCCAUUCUUUGAUGUGGUCCAUGAGCUAAAGUGUGUGGCAGCUCCACUACACUCUGGUUGGAGGAGUUGCUAGCCUCAUGCGAUGGCCAACGCACAUGGAACGGAAGAAUAGUUAUUCGUGAGUAUCGUACUCACACUUGUUUUCGUAGGCUUUAUGCUUGCGCUUGAUUUGUGGCUCUUGUCGCACUUGUUUCAUGGCUUUCAACCGCUCUUGACAGCACUAGGUUGAUACAAAGUACAUAUGCUGGCCAGCAAUAAGAUUCGAGGUUGUUGGAUUCAUGACCUUUGCUAAAGCUCCAAGGGGCCUUUUUUGUCCUUUUUCUAAGAUGUAACGACAACAUUAAAGACGGUAAUUCUAGCUACUUAGAUUAAGGCUUUGAUUCUUCAACCAGUUCGUGGUUGAUUGAUA